rnacentral:rRNA from 1 species
AUUGAACGCUGGCGGCAGGCCUAACACAUGCAAGUCGAGCGGAUGAAGGGAGCUUGCUCCUGGAUUCAGCGGCGGACGGGUGAGUAAUGCCUAUGAAUCUGCCUGGUAGUGGGGGAUAACGUCCGGAAACGGGCGCUAAUACCGCAUACGUCCUGAGGGAGAAAGAGGGGGAUCUUCGGACCUCACGCUAUCAGAUGAGCCUAGGUCGGAUUAGCUAGUUGGUGGGGUAAAGGCCUACCAAGGCGACGAUCCGUAACUGGUCUGAGAGGAUGAUCAGUCACACUGGAACUGAGACACGGUCCAGACUCCUACGGGAGGCAGCAGUGGGGAAUAUUGGACAAUGGGCGAAAGCCUGAUCCAGCCAUGCCGCGUGUGUGAAGAAGGUCUUCGGAUUGUAAAGCACUUUAAGUUGGGAGGAAGGGCAGUAAGUUAAUACCUUGCUGUUUUGACGUUACCAACAGAAUAAGCACCGGCUAACUUCGUG